AUGAAUGCUAUGAGCUGGAACUGUCGCGGGCUUGGGAACCCUACGACAGUUCGUGAGCUUCGCAAGGUUGUGAAGCAGGAAGGUCCCUUCCUCUUCUUCGUCAUGGAAACAAAGAUUAGGGCUAAGCGUGUGGAAAAUCUGAAAGGUCUAUUAGGUUUUACCGGCUGUUUCGCUAUGGACAGUGUCGGUUUGAGUGGCGGUAUUGGCUUAUUCUGGACAGGGGAGCUUCAUGUUGAACUA
rnacentral:rRNA from 1 species